GGGCCCGCACAAGCAGUGGAGCAUGUGGUUUAAUUCGAUGCAACGCGAAGAACCUUACCAGGCCUUGACAUCCUCGGAACUUUCUAGAGAUAGAUUGGUGCCUUCGGGAACCGAGUGACAGGUGCUGCAUGGCUGUCGUCAGCUCGUGUCGUGAGAUGUUGGGUUAAGUCCCGUAACGAGCGCAACCCUUGUCCUUAGUUGCCAGCACUUCGGGUGGGAACUCUAAGGAGACUGCCGGUGACAAACCGGAGGAAGGUGGGGGACGACGUCAAGUCAUCAUGGCCCUUACGGCCUGGGCUACACACGUGCUACAAUGGCUAGGACAGACGGCCGCAAACCCGCGAGGGG
rnacentral:rRNA from 1 species